UAGGGAAUAUUGCAAAAUGGGCGAAAGCCCGAUGCAGCAACGCCGCGUGGGCGAUGAAGGCCUUCGGGUCGUAAAGCCCUUUUUGAGGGGAUGAGGAAGGACAGUACCCUCAGAAUAAGCCUCGGCUAACUACGUGCCAGCAGCCGCGGUAAAACGUAGGAGGCGAGCGUUAUCCGGAUUUACUGGGCGUAAAGCGCGUGCAGGCGGAUUGGAGAGUUGGAUGUGAAAGCUCCCGGCUUAACUGGGAGAGGUCCUUCAAUACUUCCAGUCUUGAGUGCAGUAGAGGGAAGUGGAAUUCCGGGUGUAGUGGUGAAAUGCGUAGAUAUCCGGAGGAACACCAGUGGCGAAAGCGGCUUCCUGGACUGUAACUGACGCUCAGACGCGAAAGCUAGGGUAGCAAACG
rnacentral:rRNA from 1 species